CGAGGACCGAGGGACAUGCAGCAGACUCGUGAGAUGACCGGGGACGUACACCACCAGAGGAGCGAGGCGGAGGACUCAACCGAGGACCCGCGGCUGGGACCGGUCGAUGUCUGGCCGCGGGCGAGUGCGCCAAGCCCCCAUUGCACUUGUCCUGCCCAACGAGUCCAGGUGAGGGUGACCUCCGUGGCGCGCCCGAAAACAUAGAGGGCUCCGAAUCCUCCUAGACACGCUUCUGUGGCUUGGCCUGGGUCGGGGCUACGGUUGAAAACUCGGCAAUGAGAUGAUUCUUCUCCAUGACCUCUGCUCUCAUCGACGCAAUGUUUUUCCUCAGCUUCGAGAUGAACCUGCGAGGUCCGUUGCUGCCUCUCAGAGAAGCGAAGCCCUCAUAAGGAAUACUGGACGUCCCGGUCACAAACUGAAGAGGCAGAGAGAGAUGGGAGGGAGAGAAAGGACAAGAUGAAGAAAGUCUGAUAAAUCGAUCUCCGCUGUGCCGGCAAUCACCAGCUCCAGCUCUCUGGCAUCAAACACUGACACCAGCCUGGCAUCCACCACUUCGUAAAAACCUCGGACCAGGCUCUCCGUCUGCUGCACCACCCCUCGC